rnacentral:tRNA from 1 species
AUUAGCUCAGCUGGCUAGAGCGCCUGCCUUGCAC